CUUUAACUCCUCGGGCCUGGGGGGGGGGGGGGGCUUCUUGCUGUUUUAUACCUUUCCUUUUUUUUCCCUUCUUCUUCCUCCCUUUUUUUCAGACGCAUUUUUUUUCUUUCUUUCCCUUCUUUCCCCCCCUCUCUUUCCCCCCUUUUUCCUUCCGGCUUCGGCAACCGGGAGCGGCGGGGUUCGUGCACACGGUGCUGCGCUCGCACCCCGCGGCCGCACAGGGGCCGUACCCGGCUGAUCGCGGGGGGGGGUCCGGCAUCCCUUCGCCCCCGCGCCCGCAGCGCCGUGUUCCUCGCGUGAGAGCCUGUGAUCAGCGCCGGCCUCUCUGGGAAGCAACACCAGUCUCGUUCCAGAAGAACAAAAUAACAGCGUGAGGCUGAAACCUGGCACGGACCGGGGGAACGCGGCCAUCUGCCCCGCACCGCACGGAGCCCCGCGGCCGCGGAGUGGGCGGAGGGCGCAGAGCUCCGGUGCUGCCCUCCUCCUCCUCCUCCUCCCCUCCCUUCCUCGCUCCUUUCCCCGCUCCAUCCCUUCUUAGGGAAAAGCGGUUGAAAGGAGAAAGGCAGAGAGCACGAAUGGGUGCCCUCCCCGCGCUGCGUUGCCGGGGGUAGGAGGGGGGGGGGGGGGGGGCGGGCUCGGGCACCCCGGGGUACCCACGGAGCCUCUCGCCUGCGCGGGGCGCUGCGCGUGUUUUUGCGCGUGUUUCUGCGCGGGGCGCUGCGCGUGUUUUUGCGCGUGUUUUUUAUUUUUGCGCGGGGCGGCACGCGAGCGCAGCGGGCGCGGGCGGCGGCUGCUUGCCCGCAGCGGCGGCUUAUGGAAAUGGGAUUUAAAUAGCGCAUCAGCGCUCGCUGCGGGGAUAGGAGGGAGCAGGGAGGGGGGGGACGGACGCGCAGUGCCACCGACAGAAGCUCCCCUAGCUCCUGGUCUCUAAAGGCCCCGCGCAGCGCUGCGCUCCUGCCCGUAGGAGCUCCGCAGACGGCUGUCGGGGCUGAAGGGGAGCAGCGUUGGACCGGACCGGGUUGUGCCGUGCCGGGCCGGGGGCUGCGCGCAUGGGAACGGGACUGCCGGGAGGUAGCGGGCAGCGGGCAGCGGGGCGGCCCCUCGCGUGUAACAGGAUUAUCGUGGCCAUUUCAAGUUCCAUGCAGCAUGUAAUUUAUUUUUAAUUAGGAUUAGGAUCGAGAAGGGAAGGAGACCAGACCGUGUCCCCCUCCCCUCCCCUCCCGCCCCCACAUCCCCCGUCCCCGUGAAGGCACGGCUGUGGCUGUUCCAAGAUUCCUAAAACAAUCAAUCAAUCAAUACAACGGACCCGCGAUCGCCUCCCACACUCUUUGCAGGAGAAAAGGGUGCAAAGAAAUGUAUUUUCAAUGUGCGAUCAUAUAUUCUGCUUGGAAAGCUCCUCGCCCUCCCCCUCCAGCCCCCCCCCCCCCC
rnacentral:lncRNA from 1 species